GAUCGGGCUUACACUCAUCACCCUGUGACAUACCUAAAACGUUGCUUCGGCGGGAACAGACGGCCCUGUAACAACGGGCCGCCCCCGCCAGAGGACCCCUAACUCUGUUUUUAUAAUGUUUUUCUGAGUAAACAAGCAAAUAAAUUAAAACUUUCAACAACGGAUCUCUUGGCUCUGGCAUCGAUGAAGAACGCAGCGAAAUGCGAUAAGUAAUGUGAAUUGCAGAAUUCAGUGAAUCAUCGAAUCUUUGAACGCACAUUGCGCCCGCCAGUAUUCUGGCGGGCAUGCCUGUUCGAGCGUCAUUACAACCCUCAGGCCCCCGGGCCUGGCGUUGGGGAUCGGCGGAAGCCCCCUGUGGGCACACGCCGUCCCUCAAAUACAGUGGCGGUCCCGCCGCAGCUUCCAUUGCGUAGUAGCUAACACCUCGCAACUGGAGAGCGGCGCGGCCAUGCCGUAAAACACCCAACUUCUGAAUGUUGACCUCGAAUCAGGUAGGAAUACCCGCUGAACUUAAGCAUAUCAAA
rnacentral:rRNA from 1 species